AGUGAACGCUGGCGGUAGGCCUAACACAUGCAAGUCGAACGGCAGCACAGGAGAGCUUGCUCUCUAGGUGGCGAGUGGCGGACGGGUGAGGAAUACAUCGGAAUCUGCCCAGUCGUGGGGGAUAACGUAGGGAAACUUACGCUAAUACCGCAUACGACCUUCGGGUGAAAGAGGGGGAUCGCAAGACCUCUCGCGAUUGGAUGAGCCGAUGUCGGAUUAGCUAGUUAGCGGGGUAAUGGCCCACCAAGGCGACGAUCCGUAGCUGGUCUGAGAGGAUGUUCAGCCACACUGGAACUGAGACACGGUCCAGACUCCUACGGGAGGCAGCAGUGGGGAAUAUUGGACAAUGGGCGCAAGCCUGAUCCAGCCAUACCGCGUGGGUGAAGAAGGCCUUCGGGUUGUAAAGCCCUUUUGUUGGGAAAGAAAUCUUUCAGGCUAAUACCCUGGGAGGAUGACGGUACCCAAAGAAUAAGCACCGGCUAACUUCGUG
rnacentral:rRNA from 1 species